rnacentral:rRNA from 1 species
UACGGGGGAUGCAAGCGUUAUCCGGAAUCACUGGGCGUAAAGCGUCUGCAGGUGGUUUAGUAAGUCUGCUGUUAAAUAUUGGGGCUCAACCCCAACUAAGCAGUGGAAACUGCUAGACUUGAGUAUGGUAUGGGUAGAGGGAAUUCCCAGCGUAGCGGUGAAAUGCGUAGAUAUUGGGAAGAACACCAGUAGCGAAGGCGCUCUACUUGGCCUUAACUGACACUCAGAGACGAAAGCUAAGGUAGCGAAUGGG